rnacentral:rRNA from 1 species
AGAGGCCCUAGUUGAUGGUACAACGGCGUAAAGGGUGGUUAAGGACAGUGAAAUAAUAAAGUCGAAUGGCCCUUUGGCUGUCAUACGCUUCUAGGAGUCCGAAGCCCAAUAUACGAAAGUAGCUUUAGAAGAGCCCACCUGACCCCACGAGAACUGAGAAACAAACUGGGAUUAGAUACCCCACUAUGCUCAGCCGUAAACCCAGACGUCCACUUACACUUAGGCGUCCGCCCGGGUACUACGAGCAUUA